rnacentral:lncRNA from 1 species
AAAAUACCACAAUCUAGUGGUCAAAACAGUAAGGCUGUAUGUGAUGAUUUUGCUCUUAUUUUGUAUGUGUUAAGGUUUAAUUUAUUGUCCAUCAUGGUGUACAACAUUGGAGUACACAGUCCAUAUUUAAAUAUGGGCUAAAUAAACAAUGUACAUAUGUAAAUAUAACUAAAUAACCAAAUUAAGGGUCUCUGGAUUUAUAUUUGUGACAUCGCAUAAGAACUGCCGAUUUAGCGCCAAAACACCGUUACCUUAGUAUCCACAUAACGAACAAACUUUCGAUACUGGAAUUAUUAAAGGGUCGAAGGGCAAGACUCGUUUUACUGUUCAAUACAUGGACAUUUGACAAAACAAGGAUACGUAAAGACUGAUAAAACAUUUUUUUAAAUGGACCAAUGGAGAUCAGAAAGAUGCUGCCUGCCUACCCUUGAGCUUCUGCAGUGACUUCACCAGACGACUGCACUGAGCUGUGUGAAACCAUCAUACAGGAAUCCGAGUCAGAGGAGGAAGAUGGACGAUUCCUGCCCAAAGAGCUGCAAGCAAAACAGAUCAGUGCCAAGGAAGACCAGAUAAUCAAUGUCAAACGACUGUGUUCCACAUCUCAAGAGGAGGACAUCAAGAAAGUCAAGCUUUUCUGUGACUGGGUCGCCUCAUUGAGCAAACCAGGAACUAAAAGCCCCAA